rnacentral:piRNA from 1 species
CAAAAGUUGGAAUUUCAAACUCUAGC